rnacentral:rRNA from 1 species
GAUGAACGCUAGCGGCAGGCUUAACACAUGCAAGUCGAGGGGCAGCGCGAUGUAGCAAUACAUUGGCGGCGACCGGCGCACGGGUGCGUAACACGUAUGCAACCUUCCCGCCACUGGGGGAUAGCCCGGAGAAAUCCGGAUCAAUACCCCAUAAUUCCCUGGGAGGCAUCUCCUGGGGCUGAAAACUCCGGUGGUGGCGGAUGGGCAUGCGCACGAUUAGCUAGUUGGUGAGGUAACGGCUCACCAAGGCUACGAUCGUUAGGGGGCCUGAGAGGGUUAUCCCCCACACUGGU